rnacentral:rRNA from 1 species
UACACGACCGUACCGCAAACCGACACUGGUGCGCGAGAUGAGUAUUCUAAGGCGCUUGAGAGAACUCAGGAGAAGGAACUCGGCAAAUUCACACCGUAACUUCGGAAGAAGGUGUGCCUUUAGUAGGUGAAGUCCCUCGCGGAUGGAGCCCAAUGAGGUUGCAAAAAAUCGGUGGCUGCGACUGUUUAUUAAAAACACAGCACUCUGCAAACACGAAAGUGGACGUAUAGGGUGUGACGCCUGCCCGGUGCUGGAAGAUUAAAUGAUGGGGUGCAAGCUCUUGAUUGAAGUCCCAGUAAACGGCGGCCGUAACGAUAACGGUCCUAAGGUAGCGAAAUUCCUUGUCGGGUAAGUUCCGACCUGCACGAAUGGCGUAACGAUGGCCACACUGUCUCCUCCUGAGACUCAGCGAAGUUGAAAUGUUUGUGAUGAUGCAAUCUCCCCGCGGAAAGACGGAAAGACCCCAUGAACCUUUACUGUAGCUUUGUAUUGGACUUUGAACAGAUCUGUGUAGGAUAGGUGGGAGGCUUUGAAGCAGGGUCGCUAGAUCUUGUGGAGCCAACGUUGAAAUACCACCCUGGUGUGUUUGAGGUUCUAACCUAGGCCCGUAAUCCGGGUUGGGGACAGUGCAUGGUAGGCAGUUUGACUGGGGCGGUCUCCUCCCAAAGUGUAACGGAGGAGUUCGAAGGUACGCUAGUUACGGUCGGACAUCGUGACGAUAGUGCAAUGGCAUAAGCGUGCUUAACUGCGAGACUGACAAGUCGAGCAGAUGCGAAAGCAGGACAUAGUGAUCCGGUGGUUCUGUAUGGAAGGGCCAUCGCUCAACGGAUAAAAGGUACUCUGGGGAUAACAGGCUGAUACCGCCCAAGAGUUCAUAUCGACGGCGGUGUUUGGCACCUCGAUGUCGGCUCAUCUCAUCCUGGGGCUGUAGCCGGUCCCAAGGGUAUGGCUGUUCGCCAUUUAAAGAGGUACGUGAGCUGGGUUUAAAACGUCGUGAGACAGUUUGGUCCCUAUCUUCCGUGGGCGCUGCAGAUUUGAGGAAGCCUGCUCCUAGUACGAGAGGACCGGAGUGGACGCACCUCUGGUGUAUCGGUUGUCACGCCAGUGGCAUUGCCGAGUAGCUAUGUGCGGAAGAGAUAACCGCUGAAAGCAUCUAAGCGGGAAACUCGUUUCAAGAUGAGAUCUGCCGGGGCCUUGAGCCCCCUGAAGAGUCGUUCAAGACCAGGACGUUGAUAGGUCGGGUGUGGAAGCGCAGUAAUGCGUUAAGCUAACCGAUACUAAUUGCUCGUGCGGCUUGACU